AGUGAACGCUGGCGGUAGGCCUAACACAUGCAAGUCGAACGGCAGCACAGUAAGAGCUUGCUCUUACGGGUGGCGAGUGGCGGACGGGUGAGGAAUACAUCGGAAUCUACUUUUUCGUGGGGGAUAACGUAGGGAAACAUACGCUAAUACCGCAUACGACCUACGGGUGAAAGCAGGGGAUCUUCGGACCUUGCGCGAUUGAAUGAGCCGAUGUCGGAUUAGCUAGUUGGCGGGGUAAAGGCCCACCAAGGCGACGAUCCGUAGCUGGUCUGAGAGGAUGAUCAGCCACACUGGAACUGAGACACGGUCCAGACUCCUACGGGAGGCAGCAGUGGGGAAUAUUGGACAAUGGGCGCAAGCCUGAUCCAGCCAUACCGCGUGGGUGAAGAAGGCCUUCGGGUUGUAAAGCCCUUUUGUUGGGAAAGAAAAGCAGCAGGUUAAUACCCCGCUAUUCUGACGGUACCCAAAGAAUAAGCACCGGCUAACUUCGUG
rnacentral:rRNA from 1 species